UGGUGGAGUGAUUUGUCUGGUUAAUUCCGAUAACGAACGAGACCUUAUCCUGCUAAAUAGCCGGGCUGGCUUUUGCUGGUCGCUGGCUUCUUAGAGGGACUGCGGUAGCGUCUAGCCCGCGGAAGUUUGAGGCAAUAACA
rnacentral:rRNA from 1 species